rnacentral:lncRNA from 1 species
CCUCAUUUCACCUCAUCAUUAGGCAUUUGAUCAUCUUACACCAUUACAAGAAGGGUGAUAUGGUGGAAUCAUACGAGCAAAGGCCAUGUUCACCUUUUGCUUUUCUAUUGUGAGGCAACCAGCACCUUAAUGAAGGCC